rnacentral:lncRNA from 1 species
GCUAACGUUAGACCUGGCCCUGGAAGGAGCUGCUUCCUCCAUCCGAACCUCGGCAGCUCCCGGUUGGCGGUCAGUGGCAUGACCUUCACCACCGCCCGCCCCUCCUUGCCACCUCACGUCAGGGUGGCAUCAGCAUCCUCGCUUCUCGGCUGUCUACAGCUGCAUCACAGGUCCUGGGUCAGCAUCCUGUCUCCGGCGCUUGAAGAGGAGUCUGGCCGAGGCAGACGCCCCUCCAGGCCCAGAAGACCCUGAACUCCAGAACUCAACUGAAAUAAGGGAACAAGAAACCUAAACGCUGGCACUGGCGGAAGAUCCACUGUUGUCAUCAGCCGCCCCCAGGCACUAUCCAGGAAUUGAUGCAGGAGGGAGACUGGGAUCCGGCUGGAGAUUAGUAAUGCCCUGAGCACUGUGUGACCAUGCUUCCUCCCUUCUCCGCCUGAGCCCACGCCCUGCUCAUUCUCCCUCCCUGCCCCGCUCUCUCCAUCAACUUCUACAGGGCAUUGGGGCCAGUCUCGCCGCACAUGGGUUAUGCAACUCCUAGUAUUUAAUUGCAAUCCACAGCACCCCACACCAACCCCAGCAGGGUAGAUCCUCCACUGCACAGGACAGCCUCAUGUGCCUCCUGCUAUCUUUAGAACCUAUGAGAGAAGCAUAGGACAGGGGAGCUGAAUUGCCAGUAGACUUCCUUGGUCUUGCAACCUAAGGCAGAUUAUUGCCCCUGUUAUAAAUGGAAAGGACAUUUCAGUUCUCUGGGAGCCAAGCAACUUAGCCAGUGUCAAAGUGGAAGGUCCCUCAGAGCCCUCACCACCUGACCACCUGGAGCCCCAGCCAUUGGCCACACAGAACCCUAGCCAUUAGCCACCCAGAGCUCUAGCCACCUGCCACCUAGAGCCCCAGCCACCUGCCACCCGGAGCCCCACCUGUCGGCCACCUGGAGCCCAGCCAUUGGCCACCCAGAGCCCUAGCCGCCUGCUACCUGGAGCCCCAGCCACCUGCCACCCAGAGCCCUAGCUGCCUGCCACCUGGAGCCCUAACCAUCGACCCCCCAAUCUUGCUUUUGGGGAGAGCGCCUCCCCUAAUCCUACAGGCAGGAGCUCCCCUCUGGGCUCAGGGAGCCGCUGCCUCUCAGGCCCAGCCAAGCCCCUGCCAUAACCGUGGUGAGAGGAGCUGACAGAAGCCUGUGACGGAGCCAAGUGCAGGCUGCUGCUCGAAGUGGGGUCUACGCUGGCUGAGGGUGGGGGGCGAGGGAGCA